GCCAAAUUCUGUGCUGCAUUACUCUAAUAAAGUAAAUGGAGUUAUUCCUGCAGAGAAUUUAGCCAGUCCCUUAGUCAAAUGGAAUUGAUGACUGUCUCCUAGCUUGGAAGAAAGGAAACAUGGCAGAAAUUAUUUCAAGGGAAAGACCUUCGUGAUGAGAAAAAUGCAGAAUGACAUUCCGGAAUUAAGGGAAGACGAAAGCUUCAUGACCCUACAAUGAUAUAUGCUGCUAGAAACUCGGCUGAAACCAUCACUGCUUUCACAAAUGCUGCUAAAAAGCUGCUGGAAACUUACUGCAAAUUUACAACCUGCCUGGACCAAGAUGGGAACAGUUCCAGGCACACCAUUAUCCUGA